rnacentral:rRNA from 1 species
GAUGAACGCUGGCGGCGUGCCUAAUACAUGCAAGUCGAGCGAACAGACGAGGAGCUUGCUCCUCUGACGUUAGCGGCGGACGGGUGAGUAACACGUGGAUAACCUACCUAUAAGACUGGGAUAACUUCGGGAAACCGGAGCUAAUACCGGAUAAUAUAUUGAACCGCAUGGUUCAAUAGUGAAAGACGGUUUUGCUGUCACUUAUAGAUGGAUCCGCGCCGCAUUAGCUAGUUGGUAAGGUAACGGCUUACCAAGGCAACGAUGCGUAGCCGACCUGAGAGGGUGAUCGGCCACACUGGAACUGAGACACGGUCCAGACUCCUACGGGAGGCAGCAGUAGGGAAUCUUCCGCAGUGGGCGAAAGCCUGACGGAGCAACGCCGCGUGAGUGAUGAAGGUCUUCGGAUCGUAAAACUCUGUUAUUAGGGAAGAACAAAUGUGUAAGUAACUAUGCACGUCCUGACGGUACCUAAUCAGAAAGCCACGGCUAACUACGUG